AUUGAACGCUGGCGGCACGCCUAACACAUGCAAGUCGAACGAGUGGCGGACGGGUGAGUAAUGUCUGGGAAACUGCCUGAUGGAGGGGGAUAAAUACUGGAAACGGUAGCUAAUACCGCAUACCAUCGGAUGUGCCAAGAUGGGAUUAGCUAGUAGGUGGGGUAAAGGCACACCUAGGCGUCGAUCCCUAGCUGGUCUGAGAGGAUGACCAGCCACACUGUAACUGAGACACGGUCCAGACUCCUACGGGAGGCAGCAGUGGUGAAUAUUGCACAAGGGGCGCAAUCCUGAUGCAGCCAUGCCGCGUGUAUGAAGAAGGCCUUCGGGUUGUAAAGUACUUUCGGCGGGGAGGCGUUACCCGCAGAAGAAGCACCGGCUAACUACGUGCCAGCAGCCGCGGUAAUAC
rnacentral:rRNA from 1 species